rnacentral:rRNA from 1 species
ACGUAGGGAGCGAGCGUUGUCCGGAAUCAUUGGGCGUAAAGAGCACGUAGGUGGAUCAAUUAGUCUGCUGUGAAAGUCAAAGGCUCAACCUUUGAAAGCCGGUGGAUACUGUUGAUCUAGAGUACGGAAGAGGCGAGUGGAAUUCCUGGUGUAGCGGUGGAAUGCGCAGAUAUCAGGAGGAACACCAAUAGCGAAGGCAGCUCGCUGGGACGUUACUGACACUGAGGUGCGAAAGCGUGGGGAGCAAACAGG